rnacentral:tRNA from 1 species
UCAAAUCCCAUAACAC